ACUCCUACGGGAGGCAGCAGUGGGGAAUAUUGGACAAUGGACCAAAAGUCUGAUCCAGCAAUUCUGUGUGUUUGAUGAAGGCCUUCGGUUGUAAGAACUUUCAGUGGGGAAGAAGCAAGUGACGGUACCCACAGAAGAAGCGACGGCUAAAUACGUGCCAGCAGCCGCGGUAAUACGUAUGUCGCAAGCGUUAUCCGGAAUUAUUGGGCAUAAAGGGCGUCUAGGCGGUCUAAUAAGUCUGAUGUGAAAAUGCGGGGCUCAACUCCGUAUUGCGUUGGAAACUGUUAGACUAGAGUUUUGGAGAGGUAGGCGGAACUACAAGUGUAGAGGUGAAAUUCGUAGAGAUUUGUAGGAAUGCCGAUGACGAAGGUAGCUUACUGGACAAAUACUGACGCUGAAGCGCGAAAGCUAGGGGAGCAAACAGGAUUAGAUACCCUGGUAGGUCAGUC
rnacentral:rRNA from 1 species